AUGAUGCUGUUGAGGUGCUGCACUCAAUAUGCCAGCAAAUUUGGAAAACUCAGCAGUGGCCACAGGACUGGAAAAGGGCAGUUUUCAUUCCAAUCCCAAAGAAAGGCAAUGCCAAAGAAUGCUCAAACUACCACACAAUUGCACUCAUCUCACACACUACUAAUGUUCAAAAUUCCCCAAGCCAGGCUUCAGCAAUAUGUGAACUGUGAACUUCCAGAUAUUCAAGAUGGUUUUAGGAAAGGCAGAGGAACCAGAGAUCAAGUAGCCAACAUCCGCUGGAUCAUCGAAAAAGCAAGAAAGUUCCAGAAAAACAUUUAUUUCUGCUUUAUUGACUAUGCCAAAGCCUUUGACUGUGUGGAUCACAAGAAACUGCAGAUAAUUCUGAAAGAGAUGGGAAUACCAGACCACCUAACUUGCCUCUUGAGAAACCUAUAUGCAGGUCAGGAAGCAACAGUUAGAACUGGACAUGGAACAACAGACUGGUUCCAAAUAGGAAAAGGAGUACGGCAAGGCUGUAUAUUGUCACCCUGCUUAUUUAACUUACAUGCAGAGUACAUCAUGAGAAACACUGGGCUGGAAGAAACACAAGCUGGAAUCAAGAUUGCCGGGAGAAAUAUCAAUAACCUCAGAUAUGCAAAUGACAAAAGUGAAGAGGAACUAAAAAGCCUCUUGAUGAAAGUAAAAGAGGAGAGUGAAAAAGUUGGCUUAAAGCUCAACAUUCAGAAAACAAAGAUCAUGGCAUCUGGUCCCAUCACUUCAUGGGAAAUAGAUGGGGAGACAGUGGAAACAGUGUCAGACUUUAUUUUUGGGGGCUCGAAAAUCACUGCAGAUGGUGAUUGCAGCCAUGAAAUUAAAAGACGCUUACUCCUUGGACGGAAAGUUAUGACCAACCUAGAUAGCGUAUUGAAAAGCAGAGACGUUACUUUGCCAACAAAAGUCUGUCUAGUCAAGGCUAUGGUUUUCCCAGUAGUCAUGUAUGGAUGUGAGAGUUGGACUCUGAAGAAAGCUGAGUGCCAAAGAAUUGAUGCUUUUGAACUGUGGUGUUGGAGAAGACUCUUGAGAGUCCCUUGGACUGCAAGGAGAUCCAACCAGUCCAUCCUAAAGAUCAGUCCUGGGUGUUCUUUGGAAGGAAUGAUGCUGAAGCUGGAACUCCAGUACUCUGGCCACCUCAUGCGAAGAGUUGAAUCAUUGGAAAAGACUCUGAUGCUGGGAGGGAUUGAGGGCAGGAGGAGAAGGGGAUGA
rnacentral:lncRNA from 1 species